GACGAACGCUGGCGGCGUGCCUAAUACAUGCAAGUAGAACGCUGAAGGAGGAGCUUGCUCUUCUGGAUGAGUUGCGAACGGGUGAGUAACGCGUAGGUAACCUGCCUGGUAGCGGGGGAUAACUAUUGGAAACGAUAGCUAAUACCGCAUAACAGUAGAUGUUGCAUGACAUUUGCUUAAAAGGUGCAAUUGCAUCACUACCAGAUGGACCUGCGUUGUAUUAGCUAGUUGGUGGGGUAACGGCUCACCAAGGCGACGAUACAUAGCCGACCUGAGAGGGUGAUCGGCCACACUGGGACUGAGACACGGCCCAGACUCCUACGGGAGGCAGCAGUAGGGAAUCUUCGGCAAUGGACGGAAGGCUGACCGAGCAACGCCGCGUGAGUGAAGAAGGUUUUCGGAUCGUAAAGCUCUGUUGUAAGAGAAGAACGAGUGUGAGAGUGGAAAGUUCACACUGUGACGGUAUCUUACCAGAAAGGGACGGCUAACUACGUG
rnacentral:rRNA from 1 species